rnacentral:rRNA from 1 species
AAUGAACGCUGGCGGCGUGCCUAACACAUGCAAGUCGAGCGGGAAAGUCCUUCGGGAUGAGUACAGCGGCGGACGGGUGAGGAACGCGUGAGAAUCUGCCCUUUAGUGAAGGAUACCUUCGAGAAAUCGAAGUUAAUACUGCAUACGUCCCUUCGGGGAGAAAGAUGGCUUCAUGCUGUCGCUAAUGGAUGAGCUUGCGUACUAUCAGCUAGUUGGUAGGGUAAAGGCCUACCAAGGCUAUGACGGUUAGCCGGCCUGAGAGGGUGUACGGCCACAUUGGAACUGAGACACGGUCCAGACUCCUACGGGAGGCAGCAGUGGGGAAUAUUGUGCAAUGGGCGCAAGCCUGAUCCAGCCAUGCCGCGUGUGUGAAGAAGGCCUUCGGGUUGUAAAGCACUUUUGUUGGGGAAGAAAAGCUACCGGUUAAUACCCGGGAGUUCUGACGGUACCCAAAGAAUAAGCACCGGCUAACUUCGUGC